rnacentral:rRNA from 1 species
GAUGAACGCUGGCGGCGUGCCUAAUACAUGCAAGUCGAGCGAAUGGAUUAAGAGCUUGCUCUUAUGAAGUUAGCGGCGGACGGGUGAGUAACACGUGGGUAACCUGCCCAUAAGACUGGGAUAACUCCGGGAAACCGGGGCUAAUACCGGAUAACAUUUUGAACCGCAUGGUUCGAAAUUGAAAGGCGGCUUCGGCUGUCACUUAUGGAUGGACCCGCGUCGCAUUAGCUAGUUGGUGAGGUAACGGCUCACCAAGGCAACGAUGCGUAGCCGAACUGGGAGGGUGAUCGGCCACACUGGGACUGAGACACGGCCCAGACUCCUACGGGAGGCAGCAGUAGGGAAUCUUCCGCAAUGGACGAAAGUCUGACGGAGCAACGCCGCGUGAGUGAUGAAGGCUUUCGGGUCGUAAAACUCUGUUGUUAGGGAAGAACAAGCGCUAGUUGAAUAAGCUGGCACCUUGACGGUACCUAACCAGAAAGCCACGGCUAACUACGUGCCAGCCGCCGCAGUAA